GACAGAGGGUGCAAACGUUGUUCGGAAUUACUGGGCGUAAAGCGCGUGUAGGCGGCUAAGUAAGUCGGGCGUGAAAUCCCACGGCUCAACCGUGGAAGUGCACUCGAAAACUGCAUAGCUAGAGUCCUGGAGAGGAAGGUGGAAUGCUUGGUGUAGAGGUGAAAUUCGUAGAUAUCAAGCGGAACACCGGAUGGCGAAGGGCGGCCUUA
rnacentral:rRNA from 1 species